UUCAGCAGGUCCGGCCGCCGCUUCCAGCCCCCCAGCAAGAAGUCCUGGUCCCCGCGGAGGAGAGCUUUAGCUCCCGCUUGGAAUUAGCUUCUCCCACCGGGCUCCAUCCAUCAGCUCAAAUCCCCCCCCCCCCUCCUCGACGGUGGGGCCGGGCUGCUUAAAACCCUCGGGCAGUCUCCUCCCCGUCCAACCCCCCCCCGGCCCGGCCAACAGAGCCCCGGGAGAUGCGGCUGGGGAUGCGGGAGCCCCCCUCGGGGAAGGGGGGGGUAGGGGGGGAGAUAAGGAGGUUAGAGCAGGGCCUAAAGCCUUGGGGGGGGAGAUGGAGAAGGAGCCCCGGGGGGGGUGGGAGCGGUGGGGAAGGUGAGAGACAGCGAAAGCCCGGGGGCAAAAAAAAAACCCUUUGUCCCGCAGAUCACGGAAGGAUCCUAGAAAACCGCCUCGCACCCAGGCCAGGGCCGGCCACCGGGGUGGGGGGGGGCGGAUUUUGGCCGGAGAACUCACUCUUGGGACUGAUUUAGGUUUGAGCAGCAGAUUCCCCAGGCUGAACCCCUCGGCCGGGCUGAAUUUAGCAGCAGCAGAGAUAACCGGGAGAUAAGGGCUGAUACCCGGCAGGACAGCGGGAGCCGAGGGAAGGGGGAGAAGCCGGAGGCAGAGUCCCGUGGCGCGUUGGGAGCGGCAGCUGCGGAUCCAGAUGUGCCACCAUCCCAAGGGACGCGCGUCUCCCUGCAAAACCCACUGGAUUUUCUCCACCGAGGUUUUUUUUUUUUUCUUUUUGGCGAAACUUCGUUGAAUUUUUUACGGAAUCUCAUCCCUUUAUU